UAAUUGAAUAAUUUAACGAUUUCCCUUUCCUAUUUGAUAUUGAUUAGCUCACCAAUCCAUAUGUAAUGGAACUCUAUUCGCUCUUCUGAUUGCUAUAUAAAAUAAUAGAAUUAGGAAAUCCUCUAUUUACUAUAUAUAUCACUGAAUAAUAACUUUUUUGUUGACAAAAGAAUAAAGAUCAUUUCUAUUCCAAGGUGGGGAGUUUUAUUUUCCCCAUCGACCUA
rnacentral:sRNA from 1 species